CUCAAAGUUAAAAAUUAUUAGAAAUUUACCUAAGAGACAAAACACAGGCAGUAGCAAAUGUUCAUUCAAAUCUAUUCCAUGAUCUCCCCCAAAUUCAAAUUUUCCAUUAUGAAUAUUUAAUUCUCUGGGAAAUUUUAGGGUGAAAAAUAACGUGGUUUUGCACUUUGAUGAUGAGACAAAUAGGGACGUGUUAAGUAAUCCUAGAAAAUAUUGAUGCUUCCCAUGUCUCAUCCUCAGAAUAUAUUGCACAUUUCUAGAUAAUUAUUAACUUUGAGGAAG